AAGAAUUGCCCUGUUCUCUUGAGAAUGGGUUCUAUUCCUAUACCGUGUAUACAUACCUUUGUUGCUUUGGCGGGCUGCCUCUCGUAGGCGUUGGCUCCGGCUGACUAUGCCCGCCAGAGGAUCCAAACUCUUUUGUUUAGUAGUGUCUGAGUACUAUAUAAUAGUUA
rnacentral:misc_RNA from 1 species